GUCGAGCGGAGAUGAGGUGCUUGCACCUUAUCUUAGCGGCGGACGGGUGAGUAAUGCUUAGGAAUCUGCCUAUUAGUGGGGGACAACAUUCCGAAAGGAAUGCUAAUACCGCAUACGCCCUACGGGGGAAAGCAGGGGAUCUUCGGACCUUGCGCUAAUAGAUGAGCCUAAGUCGGAUUAGCUAGUUGGUGGGGUAAAGGCCUACCAAGGCGACGAUCUGUAGCGGGUCUGAGAGGAUGAUCCGCCACACUGGGACUGAGACACGGCCCAGACUCCUACGGGAGGCAGCAGUGGGGAAUAUUGGACAAUGGGCGGAAGCCUGAUCCAGCCAUGCCGCGUGUGUGAAGAAGGCCUUUUGGUUGUAAAGCACUUUAAGCGAGGAGGAGGCUACUUAGAUUAAUACUCUAGGAUAGUGGACGUUACUCGCAGAAUAAGCACCGGCUAACUCUGUGCCAGCAGCCGCGGUAAUACAGAGGGUGCGAGCGUUAAUCGGAUUUACUGGGCGUAAAGCGUGCGUAGGCGGCUGAUUAAGUCGGAUGUGAAAUCCCUGAGCUUAACUUAGGAAUUGCAUUCGAUACUGGUCAGCUAGAGUAUGGGAGAGGAUGGUAGAAUUCCAGGUGUAGCGGUGAAAUGCGUAGAGAUCUGGAGGAAUACCGAUGGCGAAGGCAGCCAUCUGGCCUAAUACUGACGCUGAGGUACGAAAGCAUGGGGAGCAAACAGGAUUAGAUACCCUGGUAGUCCAUGCCGUAAACGAUGUCUACUAGCCGUUGGGGCCUUUGAGGCUUUAGUGGCGCAGCUAACGCGAUAAGUAGACCGCCUGGGGAGUACGGUCGCAAGACUAAAACUCAAAUGAAUUGACGGGGGCCCGCACAAGCGGUGGAGCAUGUGGUUUAAUUCGAUGCAACGCGAAGAACCUUACCUGGGCCUUGACAUAGUAAGAACUUUCCAGAGAUGGAUUGGGUGCCUUUCGGGGAACUU
rnacentral:rRNA from 1 species